GCCAGUGUAGCGUAGUGGUUUGAGUGUUGGACUGUGACUCUGGAGACCAGGGUUUGAUUCCCAGUUCAACCA
rnacentral:tRNA from 1 species